UGUUCUGACCCGUCCUUCCUCAGCCACUGUUGUUGCAACCCUGUACUUUUCUGACUGCGUCUGUCAGGAAGGCGGCAGGAAAUUCUAGUCACCCUCACAGCAGCUGUGCCAUUCCUCCUAUCCUCCUCUGAUGACGUGGGUUGGCUUUGGUGACAGGAGGUCAGGAACUGAGCCAUAAUGAAGGCCACAGACGGGUCAAGGAAAAUCAUAAAUAAGUCAUAAACAAAAACAAGAAAGUGUCGCCUUGGCCAGAUACAAGAACUCCUAAAGACUGCCUGCUUUUACUCUACCAAGCUGGCAACUCUCCAUCUUUCCUGCAGAGACACAGACUGGCACCUAGAUCAGUCAGUCUCACUCCCUUCAUGGCACAGUGGCUCUACCAUCGACACUCUGAAUCAGCUCCAACUCUGCGAACAAAAGCCUUCGGGUCAGCACUGAAGAGUUGCAUCAAAUAUCACAGAAUAAGAGACAACAGGACACUUGCUGAUGCCGUGAAGCUGCCGAAGCCCGUGUGAAACAGUCUAUGUAAAUCCCAGAGUGAUUUGGAGAAGCUACACAGUGAAGCCCCCAGCAUGGGGAAGCGGUUGGGUUUUACACCAACCUGGAAAGUCCCUGCUAAACAGGGAGCUUGGUAGAAGUCAGAAAAUACUAGUUAAAACCCCAGUGUGCCCUGUUUCUUUAUUCCCCACCAAGUGGAACUCUGAGCUAAAGUUUCAGAGGGGGCUCAUAUCUGCUUCUGUUAGGGAUUAAUUCAUGAGACAGUAAGGAGGACACCAACACCACACACACCCCAGCAUCUCCAAAGGAUACCCUGUUUCCUCUGCCACGAGGCUCUGUAGAGGAGCCAGCAAGCUCUGCUCCAAAGUGAUGCCUUUUACCCAGGGAAGAAGAAGGAGAGUGCUGUCAGGUUUGGACUUUGGGCUGGAAGGGUAGGUGUGGUAAAAAGUUUCUUCCAGCCUCAGAAAUAUAAGACAAUAGCUAACACCUCAAGGCAGAGAUGUAGGGGGAACUCCAUGAGGUGCAGUGUCCAGGCUUUCCCUCCAAGUACAUGAAUGUAAAUAAAUAUAUAACUUCACAACUUUUAUCACACACACACACACACACCUGCACACACAGACACGCACCUGCAUAUACACACCUGCAAACACAUACACGCUUAGCUAAAAUUCUGCAUGAAAACAUGUAAACAAGCAGAAAAAAAACUAGCAACAGCCCUCACUAUAUAAUGUCAAUAAAUUAGUACUUCAUGUCCAGAUGUUAAUUAAACAAAUGAGAUAAUGACAGAUAAUUAAACCUCCUCAAUGCUAA